rnacentral:rRNA from 1 species
CAGUAUCCGCGGUAAUACAGAGGGUGCGAGCGUUAAUCGGAUUUACUGGGCGUAAAGCGUGUGUAGGUUGUUGUUCAAGUCAGUUGUGAAAUCCCCGGGCUCAACCUGGGAAUGGCAGUGGAUACUGGCUCGCUAGAGUGUGUCAGAGGAUGGUGGAAUUCCCGGUGUAGCGGUGAAAUGCGUAGAGAUCGGGAGGAACAUCAGUGGCGAAGGCGGCCAUCUGGGACAACACUGACGCUGAGGCACGAAAGCGUGGGGAGCAAACAGGAUUAGAUACCCCCGUAGUCCCUGUCUCUUAUAC